CCUACGGGAGGCAGCAGUGAGGAAUAUUGGUCAAUGGGCUUACGCCUGAACCAGCCAAGUCGCGUGAGGGAAGACUGCCCUAUGGGUUGUAAACCUCUUUUGUCAGGGAGCAAUUGGCGCUACGUGUAGCGUUAUCGAGAGUACCUGAAGAAAAAGCAUCGGCUAACUCCGUGCCAGCAGCCGCGGUAAUACGGAGGAUGCGAGCGUUAUCCGGAUUUAUUGGGUUUAAAGGGUGCGUAGGCGGAAUGCCAAGUCAGCGGGAAAAUCGCGGGGCUCAACCUCGCUCCGCCGUUGAAAAUGGCGUUCUUGAGUGGGCGAGAAGUAUGUGGAAUGCGUGGUGUAGCGGUGAAAUGCAUAGAUAUCACGCAGAACUCCGAUUGCGAAGGCAGCAUACCGGCGCCCAACUGACGCUGAAGCACGAAAGCGUGGGUAUCGAACAGGAUUAGAUACCCCAGUAGUC
rnacentral:rRNA from 1 species